rnacentral:rRNA from 1 species
CCUACGGGUGGCAGCAGUGAGGAAUAUUGGUCAAUGGACGAGAGUCUGAACCAGCCAAGUAGCGUGAAGGAUGACUGCCCUAUGGGUUGUAAACUUCUUUUAUAUGGGACUAAAAUGUUCCACGUGUGGGAUUUUGUAUGUACCAUAUGAAUAAGGAUCGGCUAACUCCGUGCCAGCAGCCGCGGUAAUACGGAGGAUCCGAGCGUUAUCCGGAUUUAUUGGGUUUACAGGGAGCGUAGGUGGAUUGUUAAGUCAGUUGUGAAAGUUUGCGGCUCAACCGUAAAAUUGCAGUUGAAACUGGCAGUCUUGAGUACAGUAGAGGUGGGAGGAAUUCGUGGUGUAGCGGUGAAAUGCUUAGAUAUCACGAAGAACUCCGAUUGCGAAGGCAGUUCACUGGACUGCAACUGACACUGAGGCUCGAAAGUGUGGGUAUCAAACAGGAUUAGAUACCCUGGUAGUC